CCUACGGGGGGCAGCAGUGGGGAAUAUUGCACAAUGGGGGAAACCCUGAUGCAGCGACGCCGCGUGAGUGAAGAAGUAUUUCGGUAUGUAAAGCUCUAUCAGCAGGGAAGAAAAUGACGGUACCUGAGUAAGAAGCCCCGGCUAACUCCGUGCCAGCAGCCGCGGUAAUACGUAGGGGGCAAGCGUUAUCCGGAUUUACUGGGUGUAAAGGGAGCGUAGACGGCAGCACAAGUCUGGAGUGAAAUGCCGGGGCUUAACCCCGGAACUGCUUUGGAAACUGUGCAGCUAGAGUGCAGGAGAGGUAAGUGGAAUUCCUAGUGUAGCGGUGAAAUGCGUAGAUAUUAGGAGGAACACCAGUGGCGAAGGCAGCUUACUGGACUGUAACUGACGUUGAGGCUCGAAAGCGUGGGGAGCAAACAGGAUUAGAUACCCUUGUAGUC
rnacentral:rRNA from 1 species